CUGCAACGAAGAAGAAAUUCAUCUGAAUAAGGGAAGAAAAAAAAAAAGCAUUUCGUCUAGAUUUUCGAACAUUACUGAUCUGUGUUAAUUCUAAAAAGCAUUAGCACAUCGACCAAUAUCAUUCUUUGCAAAAAUAUCUGUAUUUCAUCGCAAAAUAUGCGGACAAAAAUAUCCACUCUCGUUUGCUGUCACACAGAUACUGGACACAUUCACACAAAUAUACAUGGAACCGAGUAUAAAACAUUGUCUCCAAGCUGUGAAUCUACAAACCCGUGUAAAUUGAUAUGCUGCAUCCAUAAUCUUUUAGAAAAAUUCUUUCAAUGCGAAGUUUCCUUUUGUAUGUCGACGAAUGCACAUCGCAGUUCUCGUAGUACGCAUUCUUUGGAAGUAAUAGAGAAGAGUCAAUAAUGAAAUUGUGGAGUGGGGAUACUGGGCUUCGUGAAACGACAACAAAGUCGAACGUUCGACCGAUUUUAAUAGUUAAUGGUUCAGUCUUGCUACGAAUUUCAACGAGUACACAUUGGAGUUCUCGUAGUACGCAUUUUUUGGAAGUAAUAGAGAAGAGUCAAUAAUGAAAUGGAGGAGUGGGGAUAUUCUCCCACUCGUGACGACAAUAUAAGCGCACAGCUACUGGUUCAGUCUUGUUACGAAUUUCGACGAGUACACAUCGCAGCUCUCGUAGUACGCAUUCUUUGGAAGUAAUAGAGAAGAGUCAAUAAUGAAAUGGAGGAGUGGGGAUACUCUCCCACUCGUGACGACAAUAUAAGCGCACAGCUACUGGUUCAGUCUUGUUACGAAUUUCGACGAGUACACAUCGCAGCUCUCGUAGUACGCAUUCUUUGGAACUAAUAGAGAAGAGUCAAUAAUGAAAUGGAGGAGUGGGGAUACUCUCCCACUCGUGACGACAAUAUAAGCGCACAGCUACUGGUUCAGUCUUGUUACGAAUUUCGACCAGUACACAUCGCAGCUCUCGUAGUACGCAUUCUUUGGAACUAAUAGAGAAGAGUCAAUAAUUAAAUUGUGGAGUAGGGAUACUGGGCUUCGUGAAACGACAACAAAGUCGAACGUUCGACCGAUUUUAAUAGUUAAUGGUUCAGUCUUGCUACAAAUUUCAACGAGUACACAUUGGAGUUCUCGUAUUACGCAUUUUUUGGAAGUAAUAGAGAAGAGUCAAUAAUGAAAUGGAGGAGUGGGGAUAUUUUCCCACUCGUGACGACAAUAUAAGCGCACAGUUACUGGUUCAGUCUUGUUACGAAUUUCGACGAGUACACAUCGCAGCUCUCGUAGUACGCAUUCUUUGGAAGUAAUAGAGAAGAGUCAAUAAUGAAAUGGAGGAGUGGGGAUAUUCUCCCACUCGUGACGACAAUAUAAGCGCACAGCUACUGGUUCAAUCUUGCUACGAAUUUCGACGAGUAUACAUCGCAGCUCUCGUAGUACGCAUUCUUUGGAAGUAAUAGAGAAGAGUCAAUAAUGAAAUGGAGGAGUGGGGAUAUUCUCCCACUCGUGACGACAAUAUAAGCGCACAGCUACUGGUUCAGUCUUGCUACGAAUUUCAACGAGUACACAUUGCAGCUCUCGUAGUACACAUUCUUUGGAAGUAAUAGAGAAGAGUCAAUAAUGAAAUGGAGGAGUGGGGAUAUUCUCCCACUCGUGACGACAAUAUAAGCGCACAGUUACUGGUUCAGUCUUGUUACGAAUUUCGACGAGUACACAUCGCAGCUCUCGUAGUACGCAUUCUUUGGAAGUAAUAGAGAAGAGUCAAUAAUGAAAUGGAGGAGUGGGGAUAUUCUCCCACUCGUGACGACAAUAUAAGCGCACAGCUACUGGUUCAGUCUUGUUACGAAUUUCGACGAGUACACAUCGCAGCUCUCGUAGUACGCAUUCUUUGGAAGUCAUAGAGAAGAGUCAAUAAUGAAAUGGAGGAGUGGGGAUAUUCUCCCACUCGUGACGACAAUAUAAGCGCACAGUUACUGGUUCAGUCUUGUUACGAAUUUCGACGAGUACACAUCGCAGCUCUCGUAGUACGCAUUCUUUGGAAGUAAUAGAGAAGAGUCAAUAAUGAAAUGGAGGAGUGGGGAUAUUCUCCCACUCGUGACGACAAUAUAAGCGCACAGCUACUGGUUCAGUCUUGUUACGAAUUUCGACGAGUACACAUUGGAGUUCUCGUAGUACGCAUUCUUUGGAACUAAUAGAGAAGAGUCAAUAAUGAAAUGGAGGAGUGGGGAUAUUCUCCCACUCGUGACGACAAUAUAAGCGCACAGCUAUUGGUUCAGUCUUGUUACGAAUUUCGACGAGUACACAUCGCAGCUCUCGUAGUACGCAUUCUUUGGAACUAAUAGAGAAGAGUCAAUAAUUAUAUUGUGGAGUGGGGAUACUGGGCUUCGUGAAACGACAACAAAGUCGAACGUUCGACCGAUUUUAAUAGUUAAUGGUUCAGUCUUGCUACGAAUUUCAACGAGUACACAUUGGAGUUCUCGUAGUACGCAUUUUUUGGAAGUAAUAGAGAAGAGUCAAUAAUGAAAUGGAGGAGUGGGGAUAUUCUCCCACUCGUGACGACAAUAUAAGCGCACAGCUACUGGUUCAGUCUUGCUACGAAUUUCAACGAGUACACAUUGUAGUUCUCCCAGUACGCGUUCUCCGCAAGUAAUAGAGAAGAGUCAAUAAUGAAAUGGAGGAGUGGGGAUAUUCUCCCACUCGUUACGACAAUAUAAGCGACAGCUACUGGUUCAGUCUUGCUUCGAAUUUCGACGAGUACGCAUUGUAGUUCUCCCAGUACGCGUUCUCCGCAAGUAAUAGAGAAGAAUUAAUAUUCAAAUUGCAAAGUGGGGAUAGUCCACUGCGAGAGAGGACAACAAAGACGGGCCUUCGACCAACUCUUACAGUUACUAGUUCAGUUGUGUUUUGGACUUCGACGAGGGAACUCAGAAAAUUUCGCGAAGGCCAUUCCUACAAUAUUUUGUACAGUAUAUUUGAUUUUAGAUUAAAUUGCGAAGUGGGGAUAGUCCUCUACGAGAGAGGAAAACAAAGACGGGCCUUCGACCGACUUUUACAGUUACUAGUUCAGUUGUGUUUUGGACUUCGACGAGGGAACUCAGAAAAAUUCGCGAAGGCCAUUCCUACAAUAUUUUGUACAGUAUAUUUGAUUUUAGAUUAAAUUGCGAAGUGGGGAUAGUCCUCUGCGAGAGAGGACAACAAAGAUGGUCCUUCGACUGACUUUUGCAUUUAUUAGUUCAGUUGUGUUUUGGAUUUCGACGAGGGAACUUGGAAAAUUUCGCGGAGGCCAUUGCUAUUAAAGUACGAAGUGGGGAUACUCGACUGCGAGAGAAGACAACAAAGACGGGUCUUCAACCGACUUUUACAGUUACUAGUUUAGUUGUGUUUUGGACUUCAAAGACUGAACUUAGAAAUUUUUGAAGGAUGCUAUUUCAGUGAGAUUAACGAAGAGUAGACAUUUCGAUUUUGCACUCCCGCAGGACUUUGAAAAUCUAUCUUCACGAGUGGACUUAGAAAUUUUUGCACUCGCGCAGGACUUUGAAAAUCUGUCUCCACGAAUGGACUUAGAAAUUUUCGCGGAUGUCAUUCGAGCGAGUAUUAACGAAGACUUAAAAACCUCAUUGCAAUCGCCCAUGUAGCAAUGAAGUAAUUGAGGAUUUGUAUCGCUAAAAUAAAAAUAUCGCGAAGUAGAAGCAGUGUUUGUUCGUUCGCGUUUCGCGAUUUAAACGAUAAGUGCUUUUACAUAGACUGCGCGCAAUGCAGUCGUUAGAGUCAGUGUUUGUUCGUAAAGUAUUUUUCAUUUUUAACAGUCGCACAGACUGUACUUAUAAAAGAUAGUAGAGUUUCGCGAAAUAAAUUCAGUGAUCGUUCGUUAAUAAAUAACUACCGCGAAUUAGAGUCAGUGCAUCACUGAAGAGGAUCUCGACCAACUUCGAUGUCGACCUACCUCAUUUUCAACCAACUACGAAUCAUCCAUCCUCAAUUUCGACCUAAAUCGCGGUCCAGUGUUUUGGAGCCAUCGCAGAACUUCUCAAGUAGUAAGUUAAUUUUUAAAUCCCUCUGAUCACUCAAUCAUGUCGAGGACGAAAGGUCCGAAUCGGCACGGGUGAUUGGUUGUAAUUAAUUAGUAGAAGAGCAAUGAGUGACCACGGAUAAAUUUCUUCGGAGAUUUAUUCGUGAAUGGUUCGUUAUUUUUUGAUUUAUUUAUUAGAUCAGGAUAGAGUCUUCUUGUUUAAACGCGUUAAUUAUAAUUAUUUGAAAUUUUGAAUAUUUAAACUCAUUUUUAAAUAAUUCUCUCACGAAAAUAGUAAAGUAUCACGAUAUUCGUGAAUUUUAGUAAUUAACAAGCUAGAAGACAUUCGCGAUGGAUAGUCUCCGGAUUACAAGCGAAAUUGUAUAAUUUGUUUUCCAAUAAUUCGAAUAAUUGCUUGUAAGAAAGAGCGUCCAAUGAUUUUUCAUUAAAUUUUUAAUUAAAGAUUAAUUAGUUUUAUUAAUAAAAGAAAAGUCUCAGUAGAGUCAUUGUUUUUGAAGGAAUAAAGUAGAGUCAUUGCUUUUGAAAGAAUAAAGUAGAGUAGAAUCUUUGAUAAAAGACAAAGAGACUUGUAGAAUCAUAAUGCGUAGAACAUAGAAUAAGUUAAUCAAUUUUUAGCAUAGGAUUUUCAGCAAUUAAUAUAUUAAUUCCUGUAUCUCUUUCUGUGCUUUCUCGAUUUUUCGUUUCAGGAUUGCUUUAGAGUUGCGUUAGAUUUAUUAGUUUUCUUCCAUGUUUUAGAAUAAUUGAUGGUUUUAAUUUCUUGACAUUGACGAUAGUUCAAAUGAUCUAUAGUAGUUGUUAGGGCACGAAGCAAAGAAGAGGCUAUGUGCCGAAGAGGCCCCCACAAAUUGUGGCUCAAGAGGGCAACUAUUAGACUAUUGAGUUAUUUUCGAAAGCUUUACAGAACUCUUCGAAAAUGGCUCUUAGUCAUAAUUUAAUUUUACCAUGUUGUCACUCAAAAUGCUCUUAUAGAAUAAUAAUAAUGUAAUUUCCAGAAACUGAAACGACGUGACAUUCCGUCUCCCUUCUCACAUUGCCACGCGUACGCGAAAAGAACUUUUACGUACUUUACACAUUGAUAUUAUUAAAGUCGAGUAACAAAUUUUUGUGUAUUUUUCUUUUCUAAAGUUCAAUUGAAUUCGUAAUAUUAUUUUUAUAAAAUCAAGUUUCAUAUUAAAGUAAUAAUUUCGAAACGUUUAAAAUAUGGCAAUUGUGAGGACCACUGAAGGUGCACUAACUAAAAGUGCACAGAAUAAGAAAAUGCAAUUGCGGAAAACACCGAAAUUGCACUGAACGAAGGUGCACAUACAAAUGAAAUAAGAACAUUUAAAUAUAUACCAUAUUCUCCGCUCACUUUUACAGGAAGGAUACCUAAUAGGAUUCCAGUAUUACUCAGCGCAUGGCUGCGUAUUAUAGUUUAAAUAAUUAUUUUAAAUUGUUGAUUAAUUACUUUAUCUUUUCUCGGGUGGGACCCUUGGGAGGGGCCCUCGGGUGUGGGCUUUAGGCGGGUUUCGUUCUUUCACUAAUGAAAAAUCGAAUACACUUAUGGUAUUCUGAUUUUCAUCGAGUGAAACGUUCUUCGAGAAGCACACACAUCAUUCGGAAUUCUAUUUUUCUCACACGCACUUAUAAAACUAUUCUCGGCUUCUUUUUUCCUUUUUCUCUUGUUAUUUUCGUUUCCUCUUAUUUUUUCUUUCUUCUUGUCCUCAUCUUCUUUUAACCUUUUUCUGUUUCAGAUCAGAUCAUCGAAGAACCGAUCAUGGAAGGACAGAUCAUCGUGAAAUUAAUUUUUACAGGGAAGUUUUAAUUGUAUAUUUGUUUUUUUUUUCUAUUUUAUUUAAUCAUUAAUUUAUUUAUUAAUUAUUAAUAUUAUUUAAUUGUAUUUUGAUUUUAAAUGUUUUUUUAUAUAUAAAUGGCUUCUUGCAUAUAAUUAUCUCUUUCUGUUUUAUUCUUCUUCUGUUUCAAGUUACUUUUUUCUGUUUCAGGUUAGAUCAUCGAAGGACCGAUCAUCGUGAAAUUAAUUUUUGUAGGGAAGUUUUAAUUGUAUAUUUGUUUUGUUUUUAUUUUAUUUAAUCAUUAAUUUAUUUAUUAAUUAUUAAUAUUAUUCUUUAAUUGUAUUUUGAUUUUAAAUGUAUAUUUAUAUAUAAACGGCUUUUUGCAUAUAAUUAUCUCUUUUUGUUUUAUUCUUUUUCUGUUUCAAGUUAGGUGAUCGCUGGACCUAUCAU